AACGAACGCUGGCGGCAUGCCUAACACAUGCAAGUCGAACGAGACCUUCGGGUCUAGUGGCGCACGGGUGCUUACCGCGUGGGAAUCUGCCCUUCGGUUGGGAAUACCGGAGAGAAAUUUCAGCUAAUACCUUAUAAUGUCUUCGCACCAAAGAUUUAUCGCCGAGGGAUGAGCGCGCGUAGGAUUAGGUAGUUGGUGGGGUAAUGGCCUACCAAGCAGAGGAUCCUUAGCUGGUCUGCGAGGAUGAUCAGCCACACUGGGACUGAGACACGGCCCAGACUCCUACGGGAAGCAGCAGUGGGGAAUAUUGGACGAUGGGCGAAAGCCUGAUGCAGCAAUGCCGGGUGAGUGAUGAAGGCCUUAGGGUUGUAAAGCUCUUUUACCCGGGAUGAUAAUGACAGUACCGGGAGAAUAAGCACCGGCUAACUCCGUG
rnacentral:rRNA from 1 species